rnacentral:lncRNA from 1 species
UCUCUGAUCCUCAGUCUCCUCAUUUAUAAAAUGGGUAUAUUAUAUAAUUCAUCCCAUACUUAAGAAUAUUUCUUCAGCUCCUACCUUUUGCCCAUUGUUUUGCUAUGCAUUAGGUGUAGAGCAGUGAAGAAAAUAGGAUAUUUGUUCUUGCAGUUUAGAAGAUAUUAGGUGAUAAAUGUUUAUAAUUAUGAUGAAUUCUUUGAAGGAAAAGGAUGGACUGGUAUGAAAGCAUAUAAUAGAGAUUUAUUUAAUUUAGCUUGGGCAGAUUUGGGAAGGUGUCCCUGAGGAAUUGACAUAUGAGACUUCAGGCAUGAAAGGAAGCAGUAACAGAGGAGGAAAAAAGUUUUUGAAGCCAAAAGAAUAGCACACACUUAGAAGGAUCUUGGUUUGAUGAGUUUAAGGAAUAGAUCUGUGACUGGAGUGCAGUGAGAAAGUGGUCUGAUUAAUAUAUGUAGAACUUAUUUUAAGGUCAAUGAGAACCUCUUUAAGAGUAAGGCAAUGACAUGAAGAGAUUAGCAUGUUAAGAUCAUUCUGGCUACUGUAUGAAGAAUGAAUUGGAGGUGGUUUAGAUUAAGUUAUGGUGAAGUAAUGGCCAAUUGAAGGUGAAUUUUAUUUGUUUUGCAGGUAACAUUUAUAGGACUUGAUUGCUUUUAAGUGUUGAGAGAGAAUUAUCUAGGGUCACACCCAGUUUUCUGGGAGUAACAAGUUGGAUACAGUAAGACAUCAUACACAGAGAGAAGAUCCAAGAAGGAAGGUUUCUUUAGAAGGGAAAGAAGUUGGGAGAUAGUUUGUUGUUUGGUUUUGGGGUUUUUUUAAAGUUCGAGAUGCCUUUGAGAAUACUCAAGUGGAAAUGUUAAGUUGGCAGUUGUGUGUGAGGACUAGAGUUCAAAAGAGAGCUCUUGGUGAGGUAUGUGUUUAUUAUUUUAAAGUCUUUGGAGUAGCUUUAAGAAAGCUUAAGGCAGAAGCCUUGGGAUAAAAACGUAUAGACUAAAAAGAAUAGAAGGGCCAGGAUUAAGCUCUGAUGAAUUACUGAUGUUUAGAGGUUGGAUAGAGGAGAAGGAAACAAAGGAGACAGUGACCUGUAAGGUAGGAGAAAAAUCAGGAAAAGGUAAAGUAUAGUGGAAACCAGAGGAAAAGAGUGUUUUCAGAAAGAGGUUGUCAUCAACUGUGUGUCAUUCUUCUGAGAUCAAUAAAAUUAGGAUUAGAAAAGUGUUCCUUUGAUUUGGCAACAUGGAGGACAAUGAUGACUUUUAGUUAGCUUGUACUGCAUAGCAAAUCACCCAAAACUUAAUGGCUUGCAACCACCAUCAUUUAUUAAGCUCCCAGUUUUUUAGGUUUGCAGCUUGAGUUUGGCUUAGCUGGGUAGUUCUGUUGAUCUGGGUCAGCCUUAGGUGAUUCACUUGGGCUUGCUCAUACAUCUUCAGAUAUGUAUAUGUGAUCACUGGAUGGUUUGUCUGGGGGUGGCUUUGUUCAUGAUGCUCAUGGCUGGACUCUCUGGGCUGGCUUGCUCUCUCUCGCUCUCGUUUUCCAGUGGGAUAACUUUUGGGCUUGCACUGGGAGCAGAGUUCCAAGAGCAGCAAGUCAAUUAAUUCCAAAGCACAAGCGCUUUUUAAGCUUGCCGGUAUCCCAAUGGCCAGAGCAAGUCUUAAGACCAUCUCAGAUUCAAGAGCUGGAAAAACACUUGCCCAGAGGAGCCGCAAAGUCACAUUGCAAGGGUAUAGAUUCAGGGAAGGGAAACAUCUGUUGUCAUUUUUGAAGUCUGCCACAAUGAUGAUGGCAAAAGCUUAUUACUGGUAAUGGAGGAUGCUGGAAACAAGAUUGGAUUGGUAUGAACAGGAAAUGCUCUAAGCAAAAGUAUAGAUUAACUUUUUGAGAAGCUUGGCUGUGAAGGUAAUUUGAGAGGGAAGACAGCUAGAAGGAUAUUUGCAGUCUAAGCAGAUGUGUAUUUCCUUGCUUUCCUGCCUGAAUGCCUUCCUUUCACUCAGGAACAGAGCUACUUAUACUGAAUACUGAGGGAAAAGACCUAGUAGAUGUAGAGGACGCUGAUGCCGAGGAAAGAGGAGAGAACAUGAAGGUCUCUAGCAGCUUGUAGAGGAUGGAUUCUGUGCACCUGUGGAGGGAUUAGUUUUUGAUGUGAGGAGGGCUACAUACUUUCUGGAAAAAAAGUAGGGAAAUAGGAAAGAAGUAGGAAAGAAGCAGGAAAUAGGUACAAUAGGUUUAGUAAUGGAGACUGGGGAAAUUUUGUUUUCUCAGUGAAGUAGAGGCAGUCUACUGAGAGCCAAGAAGAUGUGCUUGAGGUUUGAUGUGAAUAGAGAAAAGGACAUAAUUUUAUCUCCUCCACUGAUUGGAACACUAAACUACUAACUAAAAAAACGCCAGUUAUUCAGUAAAUGAGAGGUAUUGUCAGUAUUAAUAGAAAAUAUUGCUUUAAAGGGAUUUAAUAGAACACUCUCUGUUACUACUUAGAAAUUGCUGCUAGUUCGAGUGUUUUAGGGCCUGGGACUCCUUGCUGUCUGAACCAGUUUAAUUCUAUUCCUGUCUGUAACAUUGGUGGUCCUUAAAAAGAAUGUAGGCAAGAGAGUAACCAUAUGUUUAAUGUUUUUAAAUAAAUAUUACCAAAAAUAUGAACAAAAUGGGCCUGCCUGCUUUCUUAAAGGACUUCCUAAAGCAUUUAAAAUUACUUUGUAUUACCAAAACAUAUAGGGAUAAUUAUGAAAUAUACUUAAUUUGAAUUAAUAAAGAUAAUUCAGCUUGAAUUAUCUUUAUUAAUUAGUGGUAACAUUGGUAAUAAUUAUCUUUGUAAUUAGUGGUAAUCAUCAAUUCAAGCUGAAUUAUCUUUAUUAAUUAGUGGUAACAUUGUAUAUGAAAAAAGGAGUUUUUUGUUUUAAUAGUUGGGUAAUAUGUAAAGGGGUCUUAAGGUUAUAUGCUUAGGGAAGAAUAAUAUAAUUUAUUUUGUCUCUUUUCUCUUAGAACACAUUCUCAUUAGCUUUUUAGCUGUCCGUGGCCAACCUAGCUUCUUAUUCUGUGUAGUGACUGUGUAUUAGAAGGGUUGUAUUUAUGGAGGGCACCAUCUGCUGGUUGUAAGAGGUACUGGUUGUGGGAAGCCUGCCUUUUGCAGUUGUCAGACUCCUCAAAAUCUUAUUUUCCUUCUAAUCCGACCUUAAACUUGGGGUAAAGCUCCAGGAGGAAAAAACAGCUUUUAAUAAAUAUGGGCAUGUAGGGAUUCUAUUAGUGGUUUGAUUUUAUUUCUCUGACUCUGAACAUAUUGCUACAUACUGGAUUUUUAAGAAAAAUCAUGAAAAUGGCCAGUACCCAUCUGUUGCUUCCCAGGUCAUUUGAAAAAUGGCUACGGCUUCUACCCUUACUCUUCAAAUCAGUCAAUGCUUUGCUCUUCUUUCCUUUUUGUUGAAAAGAUCUUAAAUAUUUUUACUACAGUCCUUAUUGGUUUCAUCUUAUGAACGUUUAUUUACAUCUGAUAACAGAGGGAAGAGUGAUGAUUUCUUUGUUUAUUUAUUUCUUUCUGCAGCUGUUCAUAUGGUUUAAAAAAUUACUGAUACGUUUCUUUUAAUUAAUGACCAUUUUUUUUAACGUAUUCAGUGGUUGUGUAAACUACUUAGUAUUGUGUUUUACUUACCAUUCACUAUGGACACAGAAAUGUAAAUAUAAUACUAUUUGAAAUUAAUAUAAUAUGCAUAUUAUAUACAUUUAUAUGCUGUGUAUAAAUGGAUUCGACAUGGUCACUUUUAUAAAUUUUUUUUUAAAGUUAUUAUUUUCUCAUUUUCGGUGUAUCCAUUCCACCAUAAUAAGGUGUGUAUAAUUGAAAUUUUACAAAGAUAAAUGUCAAAUAAUUUCUUUGACACUGUUUAACCUCAGAGGAGCAGCUAUAUAUCAGUAUAUCUUUCUAGAACCACUGCUAACAAUCGAAGAUACUCUUUUUUUCUUGUACCCUUCCUUUCUUCCUCUACAUUGCUCCCUUUCUUCUCUGUCUCCUUUCCACCUUUUUUCUCUUACCUUAUAAUUUUGUGUUCAUUCCUGUUAUUCUCCAGAAUGUCUUUCUGAAAGAUCAUUGUGUCAAAUCCAGGGGAGUAUUUCCUGAGGCCAUUUUGUACCAGUGUUGUGCACUUCUAAAGUAACUAGCACAAUAUGUAACCCCUUCAUCUUUAGACAUUUUUUUCUAGUUAAAAAAAUAUAUAUAUUUUUUCCCUUUGUUGACCUGCUUCUGUUUUCUUUCCUGAUUCCCUCCUGCUGCCAUACUAAUACAGAUAUUUCUCAGAGUUCAGAGUUGAGUCUUGAUAUCCUAACUCACCCUACACACUUUCUUUAUUGAUUUUGUAAACCCGUAAAGCAUGAUCUAUACAUGGUGCUCAGAUAUUCUCUGGCCUUGACUUCUUUCUAGAACUUCGGCCAUAAUACCUCCAGUUGCCUUCUAUUCCAAACUUAAUUUUUCCAAAGUUAAGUUAUUCCAAAUUAAUCUCUGUUUUUUCCCUCUGUUAUUAUGAGGACAGAUAUUUUGUAUAUUUUUCUUAUCUUUGGAUUCCUAGUGCCUAGAAUACUAUAUCAUACUAGGUAAAUUCUCAGUAAAUAUUUAAGUAAUUGACUUUCCAGGAACAAGGCUUCAGAUCUUUUUUUUCUUUUGUCUUUUCUAGGUCUUAACCUACGGCAUAUGGAGGUUCCCAGGCUAGGGGUCUAAUCGGAGCUGUAGCCACCGGCCUACGCUAGAGCCACAGCAACGCGGGAUCUGAGCCACAUCUGCAACCUACACCACAGCUCACAGCAACACCGGAUCCUUAAACCACUGAGCAAGGCCAGGGAUGGAACCUGCAACCUCAUCAUUCCUAGUCGGAUUCGUUAACCACUGAACCACGACGGGAACUCCAAGAAUCUUGUAAUCAUCUUCUACUUCUCUCAAAUAAUCAUCCUGUAGUCUUUGUUUCAGUUUUCUUUUUUUGGUAUCCCCUGUGGCAUGUGGAAGUUCCCAGGCCAGGGGUUGAACCUGAGCCACAGCUGCAACGCGGGAUCCUUAACCCUCUGCACCACAUGGGAACUUCCUGCAUCGGUUUUCUUAUUUUCCAGUCAUUGCCUUCAGUCUGCUCCUUAUUAGUUCUUACCUGGAAUUUUGUAGUAGUUUCCUCAUUGGUUUUACUGUAUUUUAUUUCUCCACUGUCUUGUCUGUACUGCCUAUUGUAGCCACCAUUUCUUAAAAUUGUUCAUUUAUUCAGCAAGUAUUUCCUGAGCACCUACUUUGUUCUAGGUUCUGAAAGGAUGCCUGAAAUAAUAUAUACUAUCCUUUUCUUAAAGAGCUUACUGUCUAGUAGGAGAAGCAGACAUGGAAAUAAGUUCAUGAAAUAUGAUGUGAUAAAUGCUAAUUAUGAUAUGUCCAGAAUUUGCCUAGCUUUAGGGGGAAGAGCCUCACUCUGCCUAGAGAGGUCAGGGAAAGUUUAAACAUAGGCUUGAAAUUUUAAGGUACAUGGAGUUUGCUUAUGGACAUGGGCUAGUGGAAACAGCCUGUGUGUAUUCACAGCACUAUUUCAAACUUCUGCUUAUAAUAUGGUAUUGCUUAUAAAACAGAAGUACAAACUGAGUUAGCCUGCUUCUUUGUUGGCUCUAUCUUCUCCUUCUUAGCUCCCUUUAUUUACUUCCUUUCACUUUUUCCUUCAAUCUCAGUUUUAGACCAGUAGCAAAUUCUGAGUUUUAUCCUCUGAGUUAUUGAUUGAUUGUCUUUUUGGGUCUGCACCCGCGGGUUAUGGAGGUUCCCAGGCUAGGGGUUGCAGUGCGGGAUCUGAGUACACCACACCACACAGCUCAGUGCGACACAGGAUCCUUAACCCACUGAGCAAGGCCGGGGAUCAAACCAGUGUCCUCAUGGACACUAGUCGGGUUCAUUAACUGCCUAGCCAUGGCAGGAACUCCUCUGAGAUUGAUUUAAAUUGUUUUCUCUUUUUGUUCUGUAUAUAAUUACCACUUCACCCCCAUCUACUUAUGGAAGUGGACUUUCUUUCAGUCUUAUUUUUUUCAAGAUUGUUUGUUAUUUCUGUUUAGGAUAACUUUAGAAUUUAUUGUUAUUUAAUUAUUCAGGGGGAAUUUGUUUCUUUUGUAGACUUUGAGACCUAUCUUAAUUCAUUUUGCCUUAUAGUUGUUGUUAAAAAGUCAUGCAAGUCACAGGCACUUAAUAUUUGACUAUACAGAUGAGUAUAUUCUGCAAAGGUACCAUGUCUACAUUAUGUAGCUGCAGUCUGUGGUCACAAUCUGUUAAAAAUGAUGAAGCUCUUUUUUUUUUUUUGGUCUUUUUAGGCCUGCCCCUGAGAUAUACGGAGGUUCCCAGGCCAGGGGUCCAAUCAGAGCUGUAGCUGCCAGCCUACACCACAGCCAUAGCCACGCAGGAUCCGAGCCAUGUCUGUGACCUACACCACAGCUCUCGUCAACGCCAGAUCCUUAACCCACUGAUCAAGGCCAGGGAUUGAACCCAUGACCUUAUGGAUGCUAGUUGGGCUCGUUAACCGCUGAGCCACUGUAGGAAUUGCCAGCUUUUCUUUUGUUUCUGUUGAGGCAAGGAAGAGAGGCUUUAUUCUACUCCAAGUUCUGUGGAAUACUGAGAAUCCUGUCACAUUAUUCACCUAUCUGUGGAAUGAUUUGUUGUAGGCAUUUGCUGAAUACCUUCUUUAUUCAAGACAGCUAAGCUUGAUUCAUGCUUUUCCUAACCUGAGCCCAUGAAGUUGUUAUAUUCUAAAAGCUUUUACAUUUUGCUUCAAUAUUUAGAUCAUUAAUCGACCUGGAAUUCCCUUUGCAUAUGGUGUGUGAAAUAUGGAUACAGUGUCUUUUUUUUAUAUAGGUGUGAAAGAUUUUCAGAACUUUAAAAAUGUAAACAACUUUAUUGAGGAAUAGUUAACAUACCAUAAAAUGAAUAAAAUUGACUUAUUUCAAGUGUACAAUUGAGUGGUUUUUCAGUAAAUUUAUUGAGCUGUACAACCAUCAGCAUAAUCCAGUUUUAUCAGUGCAGUAAGAUCCCUCAUGCUGAUCCAUCACUGAAUUAUUUUUAACUUUUCAUCUUGAGCCCUCUGCAGCAUCCAGUACCGUUGGUCACUUCCGUUCUUGCAACUUGAUAUAAUGUACCCCUUACUUUCUAACAUGGCUUCCUUCUGGGUCCUCCCCUCACCUAUUUGAUCAUUCUCAGAUUCCUUUGCAAGCUCUUUUUCCUCUUCCCAUUUCAGAGAAGGGUCUUCUUUCAUCUCUUUCUUGGCCUACCACUCUUCUCACUUAUAUAGUCUUUCUGAAUGCUUUCAUCUCUGCCCCUGGUUUUAUCUUUCACUGAGGAUCUCCACAUCUAUCUAGCUCUCUGGACCAUUUCUUUUUUCUUUUUUUUUUUUUGGUCUUUUCUCCCCUCUCCUCUCCCCUCUAUUCUUCUCCCUCUUCUCUACUCCCCUGCCAUCUCCUUUUCAGCUUUAUUGAAGUAUAACUGAUAGACAAAACCCCUUGCAUAUAUAUGUUUAUGGGCACCAUGCUGUACAGCACAUCCCUAGAUCUGAAUAAUCUUGCAUAACUAUAACUUAACACAUUGAAUAACAAGUCCCUGUUUUCCUUUCUUCCCGUCUCCAGGUAACCGCUGUUCUACUUUCUGCUUCUAUAAAUUUAACUAUUUUAUUUGUUUAUUUUUUUGCUUUUUAGGGCCACACCUGCAGCAUAUGAGGUUCCCAGGCUAGGAGUUGAAUUGGCCCUCCAGCUGCCAGCCUACGCCACAGCCACAGCAACGUGGGAUCCGAGCCGUGUCUGAGACCUAUACCACAGCUCACGGCGACACCAGAUCCUUAACCCACCAAGCAAGGCCAGGGAUUAAAUCCGUGUCCUCAUGGAUACUAGUUGGGUUCAUUACUGCUGAGGCAUAAUGGGAACUCCUGAGUUUGACUAUUUUAGAUACCUAAUAUAAGUGAAAACAGAAAGUAUUUGUCCUUUGUCUGGCUUAUUUCACUCAGCAUAAUGCCUUCCAGGUCCAUCCAUGUUGGGUAAAUGGCAAAUAUUAUUCAGCUGUUCUUUUUAAAGGCUGAAUAAUAUUCCAUUGUAGGUAUAUAUCACUUUUUCUUUAUUCAUUCAUCUGUUGACCAUUUAGGUUGUUUCCAUGUUUUGGCUCUUGUGAAUAAUGUUGCCGUGAACAUGCGUGAGCAGAUAUCUCUUAGAGAUCCUGAUUUCUAUUCUUUCAGAUAUCUCUCUGGAAUUUGGAUUGGUGGAUCAUAUGAUAGUUCUACUUUUAAUUUUUUGAGAAACCUCCACACUGUUUUUCCACAGCAGUUGCAUCAUUUUACAUUCUCACCAACAGUGUACAGGGAUUCCCAUCUUUCCACAUCCUUGCCAACACUUUUUUCUUUUGUUUUUUGAUAAUGUGUCUCCUAACAGGUGUGAAGUGUGAUACCUCAUUGUGGUUUUGAUUUGUAUUUCUCAGUAGUGAAUAAUGGAAAAGUUUUCCUCUUAGAUCAGGAACAAGACAAAGAUGUCCACUCCUGACACGUCUGUCCACUAUAGUACAGUAUCUGUCAGGGAUUGGUUCUCAGAUCCCCAAAGAAUGCCAAAAUCCAAGGAUGCUCAAGUCCCUUGUGUAAAAGUGUAGUAUUUGCAUAUAACCUUUGCACAUCUUCUUAUAUACUUUAAAUCAUCUUUAGGUUACUUAUAAUACCUAAUACAACAUAAAUGCAAUGUAAAUAGUUGUCUGUGUGCAGCAAAUUCAAAUUUUGCCAUUUGGAACUUUUUGGAAUGUCUUGGUGAGUAUUUUGAUCUGUGGUUGGUUGAUUCUGAGGAUGUGGAACUUGCAGAUGUGAAGGGCCAACUGUAAUGGGCAUCCUGGUUGUAAAGGGAGAAGUAAAAUUAUCUGUUUGCAGAUGACAUGAUCUUAUAUGUAGAAAACCCUGAAGACUCUAGUAAAAAAAAAAA